AAUCAUAGAGAAAUAAAAUAGAGUAGUGAAAGAAAAAAAGAAUCGGACCUUGAGCAAUGCAACUUUUCCAAUGUUUAUAACGAUGAGGGGCAUCAAAGUAACAUACAACUACUGGGUUUGCCCAAGAUCCUUUUAACGCCUCUUUAAUCAACCAUCCUCAUUGCUCGCUCAAAAUUUUCCCAAAUAAAAAAUGCCAACAUUGAAAGUUGGUCAUCGUUCACCGAAUGAGUUGAUUGGAUACCUUCCCACAGUAUUUGCACGUCUC
rnacentral:lncRNA from 1 species